rnacentral:rRNA from 1 species
GACGAACGCUGUUGGCGUGCCUAACACAUGCAAGUCGAGCGAAGUGAGUACUACGGUACGAACUUAGCGGCGGACGGGUGAGUAACGCGUGGACAAUCUACCCUGUAGACUGGGAUAACACCUCGAAAGGGGUGCUAAUACCGGAUAAUGUCGAGAAGCGGCAUCGCUUUUCGAAGAAAGGAAAGAAUCCGCUAUAGGAGGAGUCCGCGUCCCAUUAGCUAGUUGGCGAGGGUAACGGCCCACCAAGGCGACGAUGGGUAGCCGGCCUGAGCGGGUGAACGGCCACACUGGAACUGAGCCACGGUCCAGACUCCUACGGGAGGCAGCAGUGGGGAAUAUUGUGCAAUGGGGGAAACCCUGACACAGCAAUGCCGCGUGAGCGAAGAAGGCCUUCGGGUUGUAAAGCUCAAUAGUAUGGGAAGAUAAUGACGGUACCAUACGAAAGCCCCGGCUAACUACGUGCCAGCCGCCGCAGUAACAC